GAUGAACGCUAGCGGGAGGCCUAACACAUGCAAGCCGAGCGGUAGAGUUUCUUCGGAAACUUGAGAGCGGCGCACGGGUGCGUAACACGUGUGCAACCUACCUUUAUCUGGGGGAUAGCCUUUCGAAAGGUAGAUUAAUACCCCAUAAUAUAAUGAUUGGCAUCAAUUAUUAUUGAAAACUCCGGUGGAUAGAGAUGGGCACGCGCAAGAUUAGAUAGUUGGUGAGGUAACGGCUCACCAAGUCAAUGAUCUUUAGGGGUCCUGAGAGGGAGAUCCCCCACACUGGUACUGAGACACGGACCAGACUCCUACGGGAGGCAGCAGUGAGGAAUAUUGGACAAUGGGUGAGAGCCUGAUCCAGCCAUCCCGCGUGAAGGAUGACGGUCCUAUGGAUUGUAAACUUCUUUUGUACAGGGAUAAACCUACCCUCGUGAGGGUAGCUGAAGGUACUGUACGAAUAAGCACCGGCUAACUCCGUG
rnacentral:rRNA from 1 species